rfam:Oryza sativa (indica cultivar-group) chromosome 2, whole genome shotgun sequence.
AAAAAGACAAACUCUGAGUUUCCGUGUCCAACGUUUGACUGUCCGUCUUAUAUGAAUUUUUUUUAUAAUUAGUAUUUUCAUUGUUGUUAGAUGAUAGAUGAUAAAACAUGAUUAAUACUUUAUGUGUGACUUGCCUUUUUAAUUUUUUUCAUAAUUUUUUCAAAUAAGAUGGAUGGUCAAACGUUGGACACGGAAAUCCAAGAUUUGUCUUUUU